rnacentral:rRNA from 1 species
CACAUGCAAGUCAACUUGACUGAAGGAGCAAUCUGACAGUAGAGUGGCGCAAGGGUGCGUAACGCGUAAGUAACUUGCCCAAGGUAAGGAAUAACGUCGAGAAAUCGGCGCUAAUACCUCAUAAUGCAGCGGAUCCGCAUGGAUAUGUUGUUAAAGGUUUACCGCCUUGGGAUAGGCUUGCGUCUGAUUAGCUAGUUGGUGUGGUAACGGCACACCAAGGCUACGAUCAGUAACUGGUCUGAGAGGAUGAUCAGUCACACUGGAACUGAGACACGGUCCAGACUCCUACGGGAGGCAGCAGUGAGGAAUAUUGGGCAAUGCUCGAAAGAGUGACCCAGCAACGCCGCGUGGAGGAUGAAGGUAUUCUAUAUCGUAAACUCCUGUGAGAGCAGACGAAAGACAGAUUAUUAAUCUGGAUGACUGUAUGCUCAGAGGAAGCCCCGGCUAACUACGUG